UACAGAGGGUGCGAGCGUUAAUCGGAAUUACUGGGCGUAAAGCGCGCGUAGGCGGCUUCGCAAGUCGAGUGUGAGAUCCCCGGGCUCAACCUGGGAACUGCAUUCGAGACUGCGUUGCUAGAGUAUGGGAGAGGGAGGUGGAAUUUCAGGUGUAGCGGUGAAAUGCGUAGAUAUCUGAAGGAACAUCAGUGGCGAAAGCGACCUCCUGGACCAAUACUGACGCUCAUGUGCGAAAGCGUGGGGAGCAAACAGG
rnacentral:rRNA from 1 species